rnacentral:rRNA from 1 species
AUGCACGCUGGCGGAGUGCCUCAUACAUGCAAGUCGAGCGAACGGACGAGAAGCUUGCUUCUCUGAUGUUAGCGGCGGACGGGUGAGUAACACGUGGAUAACCUACCUAUAAGACUGGGAUAACUUCAGGAAACCGGAGCUAAUACCGGAUAAUAUUUUGAACCGCAUGGUUCAAAAGUGAAAGACGGUCUUGCUGUCACUUAUAGAUGGAUCCGCGCUGCAUUAGCUAGUUGGUAAGGUAACGGCUUACCAAGGCAACGAUGCAUAGCCGACCUGAGAGGGUGAUCGGCCACACUGGAACUGAGACACGGUCCAGACUCCUACGGGAGGCAGCAGUAGGGAAUCUUCCGCAAUGGGCGAAAGCCUGACGGAGCAACGCCGCGUGAGUGAUGAAGGUCUUCGGAUCGUAAAACUCUGUUAUUAGGGAAGAACAUAUGUGUAAGUAACUGUGCACAUCUUGACGGUACCUAAUCAGAAAGCCACGGCUAACUACGUG